AUUGAACGCCGGCGGCAUGCCUUACACAUGCAAGUCGAACGGCAGCACGGGUGCUUGCACCUGGUGGCGAGUGGCGAACGGGUGAGUAAUACAUCGGAACGUACCUUAUCGUGGGGGAUAACGCAGCGAAAGUUGCGCUAAUACCGCAUACGCCCUGAGGGGGAAAGCGGGGGACCGUAAGGCCUCGCGCGAUUAGAGCGGCCGAUGUCUGAUUAGCUUGUUGGUGAGGUAAAAGCUCACCAAGGCGAUGAUCAGUAGCUGGUCUGAGAGGACGAUCAGCCACACGGGGACUGAGACACGGCCCAGACUCCUACGGGAGGCAGCAGUGGGGAAUUUUGGACAAUGGGGGCAACCCUGAUCCAGCAAUGCCGCGUGUGUGAAGAAGGCCUUCGGGUUGUAAAGCACUUUUGUCAGGAACGAAACGGUUGGGGCUAAUAUCCCCGACUAAUGACGGUACCUGAAGAAUAAGCACCGGCUAACUACGUGCCAGCCGCCGCAGUAA
rnacentral:rRNA from 1 species